rnacentral:rRNA from 1 species
AGAUUGAACGCUGGCGGCAGGCCUAACACAUGCAAGUCGAGCGGUAGAGAGGUGCUUGCAUCUCUUGAGAGCGGGCGGACGGGUGAGUAAUGCCUAGGAAUCUGCCUAGUGGUGGGGGGAUAACGUUCGGAAACGGACGCUAAUACCGCAUACGUCCUACGGGAGAAAGCGGGGGGAUCUUCGGACCUCGCGCCAUUAGAUGAGCCUAGGUCGGAUUAGCUAGUUGGUGAGGUAAUGGCCCACCAAGGCGACGAUCCGUAACUGGUCUGAGAGGAUGAUCAGUCACACUGGAACUGAGACACGGUCCAGACUCCUACGGGAGGCAGCAGUGGGGAAUAUUGGACAAUGGGCGAAAGCCUGAUCCAGCCAUGCCGCGUGUGUGAAGAAGGUCUUCGGAUUGUAAAGCACUUUAAGUUGGGAGGAAGGGUAGUAACCUAAUACGUUGCUACUUUGACGUUACCGACAGAAUAAGCACCGGCUAACUUCGUG